rnacentral:lncRNA from 1 species
GAGAGGCUGUGGAUUUGCUGGGAAGGAUAAAGUGACGUCCCAGUGCUAAUUUCUGGUGAAGGAGGGAAAAGACCGCCUGUGCCCAGAAUGUCACUCUUCAGAAGGUGAGAAAA